rnacentral:lncRNA from 1 species
CCUCCUUACUUCCUUUUUCCUUUUUCCCUAAUCCACCGCAUUUCCCUUAGGGUUUACACUUGCUUCAGCCAACCACUCAAUCAGGCGUGCACAACCGAUCAGAGUACUAGCAGCUGCGUAAAUCGGUGAUCGGAACAACAGCAACAACGGAGAUAAGCAAAACAUUUGACGCUGCGUUUUUUAAGUUUCGGUGCGCAAAUCAGUGAUCCGAACAACACCAGUUCGGAACAACAGCAUGGUGGCAACAAUAAGUUCAAAUUCAGUUGUGUUGGUUUCGAAUUAGAUGCGCAUUAACAAGAUCGAGGAUUGCAAGUAGCCGCAGUUGAUGCACUACUGGAUAUAGAUCUACCUCACUCUAUAAAGACGUCUUUUAUGUUCAUCACCUCGAUAUGCAGUGAUCGGUACAACAGCAACAACGGAGACAAGCAAAAAUAAAGAUGCCUUCGGUUUGGUUUGGUUAUGAAGUGAAAACCGCUUGGUUACAGAGGUGAAAACUCUUCAGUUGCUGGUAGCAGACGCUAAAAUUGAAUCUGGUUUUGCGUGUUCUGGUGACAAUGAAGCCGCAGUUGAUGCACUACUGGAUAUAGAUCUACCUCACUCUAUAAAGACGUCUUUUAUGUUCAUCACCCUCGAUAUGCAGGUCAGAAAUAUUGUCACUUGAGCAAUCAAACCCAUGAAAAUGCUUUAGUACGUGCACAAAAGCUUUUGAAAAAAUAAAUGCUACAGAGGAUGAUAUGUUGAAGAAUGGCAUUUAAC